rnacentral:rRNA from 1 species
GUGGGGAAUAUUGCGCAAUGGGGGAAACCCUGACGCAGCGACGCCGCGUGAGCGAAGAAGGCCUUAGGGUUGUAAAGCUCUGUUUUAAGGGACGAAUGUCGUGGGGAGUAAUAUGCUCUGCGAAUGACGGUACCUUAAGAGGAAGCCCCGGCUAACUACGUGCCAGCAGCCGCGGUAAGACGUAGGGGGCGAGCGUUGUCCGGAAUUACUGGGCGUAAAGAGCACGUAGGCGGGAACUUAAGUCAGGUGUGAAAGACCGGGGCUCAACUCCGGGGUUGCACUUGAAACUGGGUUUCUUGAGGGCAGGAGAGGAAAGCAGAAUUCCUGGUGUAGCGGUGAAAUGCGUAGAAAUCAGGAGGAAUACCAGUGGCGAAGGCGGCUUUCUGGACUGACCCUGACGCUGAGGUGCGAAAGCGUGGGUAGCAAACAGGAUUAGAUACCCCUGUAGUCC